CACGCAGGGGGGGAAGGAGCCGGCGAGGAAAUAGAGGCACACGAGCUUCCCUUCGAUCUCCGAGAUCGGCACCUGCGUAAGUCUCAGGCUCAGAUUUCAAAUCUCCUUUUCCGAAGAUCGGUCCGCUGUCAGAGUACCUGAUCUCCGUUGCUUCUGAUGACGAAGUUCCGGGGACCAGAAGCCAGGAGAGUCCUCAAAGUCUGGUUCCUCCGGGCCUCCUCUUCCUCCUCCUUGAGCUGCGCCAGACGCUCCGAGGAGAAGGGGAACCCCGCCGUCCCGUAUUCCCUCACGAUGCCGAC
rnacentral:lncRNA from 1 species